rnacentral:rRNA from 1 species
GGUGAAAAGCACCCCGGAAGGGGAGUGAAAUAGAACCUGAAACCGUGUGCUUACAAGUAGUCAGAGCCCGUUAAUGGGUGAUGGCGUGCCUUUUGUAGAAUGAACCGGCGAGUUACGAUUUGAUGCAAGGUUAAGCAGUAAAUGUGGAGCCGUAGCGAAAGCGAGUCUGAAUAGGGCGUUUAGUAUUUGGUCGUAGACCCGAAACCAGGUGAUCUACCCUUGGUCAGGUUGAAGUUCAGGUAACACUGAAUGGAGGACCGAACCGACUUACGUUGAAAAGUGAGCGGAUGAACUGAGGGUAGCGGAGAAAUUCCAAUCGAACCUGGAGAUAGCUGGUUCUCUCCGAAAUAGCUUUAGGGCUAGCCUCAAGUGAUGAUUAUUGGAGGUAGAGCACUGUUUGGACGAGGGGCCCCUCUCGGGUUACCGAAUUCAGACAAACUCCGAAUGCCAAUUAAUUUAACUUGGGAGUCAGAACAUGGGUGAUAAGGUCCGUGUUCGAAAGGGAAACAGCCCAGACCACCAGCUAAGGUCCCAAAAUAUAUGUUA